UACAGAGGUCCCAAGCGUUGUUCGGAUUCACUGGGCGUAAAGGGUGCGUAGGCGGUUGGGUAAGUCUGAUGUGAAAUCUCACAGCUUAACUGUGAAACUGCAUUGGAUACUAUCCGGCUAGAGGAAUGGAGGGGAGACUGGAAUACUUGGUGUAGCAGUGAAAUGCGUAGAUAUCAAGUGGAACACCAGUGGCGAAGGCGAGUCUCUGGACAUUUCCUGACGUGAGGCACGAAAGCCAGGGGAGCAAACGGG
rnacentral:rRNA from 1 species